UAGAAACAAACGAUGAGCAUGUUCGAUGC
rnacentral:sRNA from 1 species